UGGGGAAUUUUGGACAAUGGGCGAAAGCCUGAUCCAGCAAUGCCGCGUGUGUGAAGAAGGCCUUCGGGUUGUAAAGCACUUUUGUCCGGAAAGAAAUCCUUGGCUCUAAUACAGUCGGGGGAUGACGGUACCGGAAGAAUAAGCACCGGCUAACUACGUGCCAGCAGCCGCGGUAAUACGUAGGGUGCAAGCGUUAAUCGGAAUUACUGGGCGCAAAGCGUGCGCAGGCGGUUUGCUAAGACCGAUGUGAAAUCCCCGGGCUCAACCUGGGAACUGCAUUGGUGACUGGCAGGCUAGAGUAUGGCAGAGGGGGGUAGAAUUCCACGUGUAGCAGUGAAAUGCGUAGAGAUGUGGAGGAAUACCGAUGGCGAAGGCAGCCCCCUGGGCCAAAUACUGACGCUCAUGCACGAAAGCGUGGGGGAGCAAAACAGGAUUAGAUACCCUGGUAGUCCACGCCCUAAAACGAUGUCAACUAGUUGUUGGGGAUUCAUUUCCUUAGUAACGUAGCUAACGCGUGAAGUUGACCGCCUGGGGAGUACGGUCGCAAGAUUAAAACUUAAAUGAAUUGACGGGGUCCAUA
rnacentral:rRNA from 1 species